CACGUAGGGGCCAAGCGUUGUCCGGAAUUAUUGGGCGUAAAGAGCUCGUAGGCGGUGUGUCGCGUCGGCCGUGAAAACCUGCAGCUUAACUGUGGGCUUGCGGUCGAUACGGGCAUCACUGGAGUUCGGCAGGGGAGACUGGAAUUCCUGGUGUAGCGGUGAAAUGCGCAGAUAUCAGGAGGAACACCGGUGGCGAAGGCGGGUCUCUGGGCCGAUACUGACGCUGAGGAGCGAAAGCGUGGGGAGCGAACAGG
rnacentral:rRNA from 1 species